GAUGAAGAACGCAGCGAAAUGCGAUAAGUAAUGUGAAUUGCAGAAUUCAGUGAAUCAUCGAAUCUUUGAACGCACAUUGCGCCCCCUGGUAUUCCGGGGGGCAUGCCUGUUCGGGCGUCAUUUCACCACUCAAGCCUCGCUUGGUAUUGGGCAACGCGGUCCGCCGCGUGCCUCAAAUCGACCGGCUGGGUCUUCUGUCCCCUAAGCGUUGUGGAAACUAUUCGCUAAAGGGUGUUCGGGAGGCUACGCCGUAAAACAACCCCAUUUCUAAGGUUGACCUCGGAUCAGGUAGGGAUACCCGCUGAACUUAAGCAUAUCAAUAAGCGGAGGA
rnacentral:misc_RNA from 1 species